UCCCUGGCAGUCCAGUGGUUAGGACUCCACACUUACACUGUCAAAGGCACAGGUUCAGUCUCUGGCCAGGGAA
rnacentral:tRNA from 1 species